UGAAACUUGUUGAAAACAUGUAACAGGUGACUCUUAACAAGCAUGCAAAGUUUCAUGGAGAUCGGACCAUAGGUGGCGCUAUAACAGUAGAAAAGGUCUCAAAACACAAGAUUUAUAUGGUAAAUGGCCUCAAAUUGUUUGAAAAUGUUCAUAUAUUCACUCAAAAACACUAAAUCUUCAUAUCAUAUGAUAAAUCUCCUCAUUCUGAACAACUUUGCCUCUGGGACCAAUGUUGUCAAUAAAGCUGUUAAUUAAAUAUUCAAGAUUAUUUAAAAAAGUUACUUUGGCAUACUUGUGAUACGGUUUAAGAUGAAAAUCAAUAAAACCACUGAAGUACAA